CUGCCCCAGGUCUAUGGAAUCAGAUUCCACAUUUAAGAAGAUCCCAUGGUGACUUCUGUGCAACUUCAAGUUGUCAAACCUUGUCUUAUAGACGCAUGGCUCACACCAGGCAGGAGAAUCCAGUACCUACCUCCUCCCUGCUUUGAGUUCAGCUCCAGAACGGUCAGCAAGGCUUAACGUCUGCUGGCCUCAGCUUCUUCAUCUGUACUAUGGGUAGUUCUGAACGGCUGCGCCUCCAGGCAUUGCCUUGAGGCUCCGGUGUGGUUCUGCAGGUGAAAAAGCUUGGCCAAACUC